GAGGGUGAGAAAACUGAAAACGGCCUGGCAGUCGAAUCCACAGUGCCACCUCCAGCAUCUUCAGAGGAAAAGAAAGUAGAGGCAGAUAGCACCAUCAAUCCGGCGACCCCUCCUCCAGCUGAGGUGAAGGCAGAUGCUCCAGCGGCAGAGGCAGCAAAAGCCACGGAGAAUCCAGCAGACAACGCCGUCCCCGAAGAACAAUCCGCCGCGAACGUCGACAACAAUGGACAGAUUCAUCCAGGUGUUUCUACCGUGAGGUGCACCUGAAGGUAGGUUUCCUGGAAGACAGGCGAGGCGAGGCGAAACGGGGAACAAACCUGGUCUCUGUUUGCUUUGAGAACUGUAAGCGUGUUUAACCUGACAGCGCCUGUAAUUGUAGGCCCUUUCCGCAUACUUCACAGCUUGUUGUCUUAUGAGGUGCUGCAGGGCAGCAGGCUGGCUUGUGCCGCCUCGGUCAUUAUUAUCAUUUGUAACUUGUUAGAGUGCACAUUAAUCUCAGGAGGACAUAGACAAUACUUAUGCUGCUGUUGUUGUAACCUGACGACCUUUAUGCCUUUGCCUUGUGUUGUUAUUCAUAAAUAAGCCAUGGAUGAACAUGUUU
rnacentral:lncRNA from 1 species